rnacentral:rRNA from 1 species
UACGUAGGGCGCGAGCGUUGUCCGGAAUUAUUGGGCGUAAAGAGCUUGUAGGCGGCUUGUCACGUCGGGUGUGAAAGACCGGGGCUUAACUCCGGUUCUGCAUUCGAUACGGGCUAGCUAGAGUGUGGUAGGGGAGAUCGGAAUUCCUGGUGUAGCGGUGAAAUGCGCAGAUAUCAGGAGGAACACCGGUGGCGAAGGCGGAUCUCUGGGCCAUUACUGACGCUGAGGAGCGAAAGCGUGGGGAGCGAACAGG